AAAAAUACGAUGUUCUGAGUACGAUAAUCUGCCAAGACCAGGACCAAGAUCAGCUGAGAAGGUUUACUUGUGGAGUGUGCAAUGAGAGCAAAUAGAUUGAUUGAUAGUUUAUUGUUGCAGGUUGUGCCGAUGCGAAGGCCUGACUCUCCAACGGGUCACCUGUACCAAGAGCAAGAGAGAGAGCGGGGACCUAAACCAACCCCGCUGAGUCCAUAUUUCUACUUUUACCCGUGGUUUAUGCCGCCAAGAUGAGGGAGACGAGUGCCGUGUUGGAAAAGCCACUCCGUGCCGUCUGUGCUCUGAAGAACGAAGGGAGAACAGAAGAAAGGAAGGAAGGCCAUCUUGGAAGACUCAAGAACCAGUCACCCCAGUUCAAGGAAAGGUCACAAGAGGUCAAGGAGGUCACAGUAUGAAGGAGCAGUCCAGUCAAGUCAAGUUAUUGAAAAGGGAAGGGAAGGGAUAGGGAAGGGAAGGAAAUGAAAGGAAAGGGAAGGGAAGGAACAGAGAAGUGUAUAUAUAGUUAAGCUUAAAGUCACAUACAGUUAGAUACAUACAGUUACACUCACAUAGAUUUACAUACAGUUUCGAUGGUGCGUUUGACGAAGGCGUUUGACUCAGUGGGUAGCGGAUUGGCCCGGCCCACGGUGUUAUGGACUCGCUCAACACAAGUACAGUAAACCCUCGAUAUAACAGACUAAUUUUCAUUUCUAUUUAUUCAUUUAUUUUUUUGACAUCAGAGGACACGUCUCGAGGGCAGUAAGGAGUACAAAAAAAAAAGCCUGCUACUCGCCGCUCCUAUAAAAGAUAAAAGUAAAGAGUAGCCAAAAGAGAGGUCAAUGUCGGGUGGAGAGGUGUCUUGAUACACACUCAAUUUUGGGGGAGCUUAGUCCGUUAGGGCCGAAAGUCCGUUAUAAGCAGCGAAGAUUUUAAAAAAACGUAAAAUAAUAAAACGAUGAAGCUAGUAAAUGUAGGUAUAUAUAUUUUUUAUUGUGCAUGUUGUGUGCAUGUUGUCUGCAUGGCCGCACAGUACACUUGGCAACGCACUCCGAGGCACUGAGGUUGCUAGGUUGUGAGUGGGGUCUUGCGUGGGGGUCAUAUUGUUACGGGUAUGGGUAGAAUUUUACAAGUGCAGCGAGUAGCCUGUACAGACACUCACAAACACUUGUUUUUUUUCCCAUUACAUUUACGUCCUGGAUUGAUGCAUAGGACUUUCUUGUGGUAUAAAUACGUUCUUCAUUUAAUUAUUUGUGACAGAAACAGUUAGCAGAUUAUUUCAUAUCACACCGAAAACUUACCCCCCCCCAAAAAAAAAGGUUUCGUCUGCCAGUGCGAGACUGGUGCGCUUGUAAAAUUUUACCCAUACCUGUAACAACCCUGCAAGACCCACUGGCAACCUGGCAACCUCAGUGCCUCGGAGUCUGUCGCCAAGUGUGGCCAUACAGACAACGUGCACACAACAUACACAAUAAAAAAAAUAUAUAUACAUACCUGCAUUUACUAGGUUUGUUGUUUGAUUAUUUUAUGUUUUUUAAAAUCUUCGCCGCUUAUAAUGGACUUUCGGCACUAACGGACUAAGUUCUCCCCAAAUUAGUUUGUUAUAUUGAAGGUUUACUGUACUUGUGUUGAGCGAGUCCAUGACACAGUGGGCUGGGCCAAUCCACGAAGCACUGAGUCAGUGGAAACCACGAGGAGGAAAAUAUUUCAUGAGGUGGGCUGAGGCAGACUAUUGGAACCCAAGGAUGGGGCAGCAGAUAAAGGGAGGAGGGCAAGGUGGCUACUUACCAGGCGCAGUUCGUUCAAAAAACAUUCUUGAUCGGUCCCCAUGGAUUUCUGACCCUCUAACCUUCUCGGGGCUUCGUGGUGCAGUGGUUAGCACACUCGGCUCACAACCUUUAGAGCCCGGGUUCGAUUCCCGGACGGAGUGGAAAAAUUUGGGCGGCUUUUCUGAUACCCUACACCCCUGUCCACCCACAGAUGUGUAGGCAUUGGCACCCUUCAGCUGCAUGGGCAGAACCUUAGACAUCUGUGGGAGAGAGAGAGAGAUUGACAAAUAAUAUAGAGGGAGAGGAAGAUAACAGUGAGAUACAGGUCAAGAUUUUAACACGAUAAUGAGGUUAACCCGGUAGCAGCGACGGGCCAAAUUUGUGGCUUUACCGUGUAGCAGCGACAGGCCAAAUUUGUGCCAUGAUAUAACCCCAAAAAAAUAGAUGAUACAUAAUCUGAUCAUAAAUGCUUUGAUAUAUAUUAUGAAAUGGUUUGUGUGAGGGGUGAUUUUUUUUCUCAUUUUUCUCACUUAGAGGGACCAUUAAGAACAUAUGAUCCCCGCUGCUACCGGGUUAAGCUGUUGUAGUUACCAGAAACGGAUGGUUCAAAACUAUUCUUGGUCAGUCCCUGUGGAUUUCUGACCCUCUGACCUUGUCUGUUAUAUCUGAAAUACAUUAUAAGCGGGUCUGUUAGAUCCAGGGUUUACUGUAUAGUUGAGGUCAGUUCGCCUACAGUUGAGUUACAGUUAGUUUUGUAGUUUAGAACUAGCUUUCUAUCUCUCUGUUCAGAUAAUAUUGUCUGUGUUAUAGAGUUCAGCUUCCUCUCACUAGGUAGGCAUAUACAUAGGCCUAUACAGUUUGCUACAUAGUGAUUAGAUCUCUCUCUCUGUUAAGAUAAUAUUGCCUUUGUUAUAGAGUAUAUAACACAGUCUCAUACGGUUAGCUAGGUACUUACCUCCUCUCUCUCUUAUUCUUCUCCUUACAUUCUCUGUCUCUCCCUCUUUACCUUUUCCUCUCUCAUAGGAAUAUAACACACAAACAUUACAAAUUAACUUUUUAUUAAUAGAAAAACACACAUACAUACAUACAUACACA